rnacentral:lncRNA from 1 species
AAGCAGAAGACGGCAUACGAUAAAGCCAGAAGACCCAUAACUAUGAUUCUGGGCUGGUUCUCAACCUGAACGUCAGUUUCCUAUCCUUAAAACAUGCCACCUAUAUUGCAGAACUCCGAUGAUUAAAUGACAAAAUGUGUAAGAAAGAGUAAAAAAAAUUAUUUAAGUAUGAAUAUUACCUUAAAUCUUAUACUAUUUCAUAAAAGAAAUGGUCAUAUUCUUCUUUUAUUUAUUUUUGAGACAGGGUCUGGCUCUGCUGUCCAGACUGAAGA